ACCUCAAGUCAUGUGAGAGUACCCGCUGAACUUAAGCAUAUCAAUAAGCGGAGGAAAAGAAACUAACAAGGAUUCCCCUAGUAACGGCGAGUGAAGCGGGAAGAGCACAAAUUUUAAAUCUACCUUGGUUUUCCAGGUCGAGUUGUAAUUUGAAGAAACGUUUUUUACGUUCCGGGUUGGAUUAAAUCCUUUGGGAUAAGGUAUCAUGGAGGGUGAGAAUCCCGUGUAUACCAACCACUGGAAUGUUAUUAAUACGAUUUCUAAGAGUCGAGUUGUUUGGGAAUGCAGCUCUAAAUGGGUGGUAAAUUUCACCUAAUGCUAAAUAUAAGCGAGAGACCGAUAGUGAACAAGUACCGUGAGGGAAAGAUGAAAAGAACUUUGAAAAGAGAGUUAAAUAGUACGUGAAAUUGUUGAAAGGGAAACGGUUGAAGUCAGUCAUGCCGGCGGGAAUCAACUUAGGGGAAACUCUAGGUGCACUUCUUCGCUUGGCAGGUUAGCGUCGAUUUUGGAUGUCAUAAAAUGACUGGGGGAAGGUAGCUCUUUCGGGAGUGUUAAGCCCUUAGUAGAUGUGAUGUUCGGGAUCGAGGAUUGCAACGGAUACCCUUUGGGCUAGCCGCCUGGUCUCUAAUACGAAGUUGGGUUAUGGAUAGCAUGCUAACCAUGAUCUGAUUUUCGGUUAAAAGAUUAGAGUGAGUGUAAAUUCGUUAAGGACGCUGACGUAAUGGCUUUAAACGACCCGUCUUGAAACACGGACCAAGGAGUCUAACAUGUAUGCGAGUGUU
rnacentral:rRNA from 1 species